UUAUAGCUCAUAUUGUGAGAACAGAGAAAAGUCGGGCAGAAGAGGGGCACCUUAUAAUACCCCAUAAAGAUGCAGAAGAAAGUUUGUGUGACUGUAUGCUACACCGGUAUUGAGUUUAUUUCAUGAUUUUUAGACCUCUAAUAAACGUAAACUUUUCAUUAUAACACAACAUAAAGCACACUACAGAUUAUUUACAUUUAAAAUUGUAAACAAAGGGCGGCCAUUUUGAACUUAGGGUCGCAGGGACGCUAUUUAAAAAAAUCCUAUGAUAUAGAAAAACGAUGCAGAAAUUUAACACAUGCAUGAUUUUUUAAAUUCAGACGUUUGUGAAACAAUUUACACACAAAAUAAAUUAUAUAUCUAUAAAAGUAUGUUUCCCAUAAAUCCUCUCCUGAUCGCUGAUUGGUUGUAAUUUUCGGCGGGCAAAAUUGAUUGUUGUUUGUGAGAGAAAACCUAGCGUGACUCAAAUGGAACCAUGUCAUGUUUUGAUUGAAUGGAAGAUCCAAAGAUUUUUCUGAGAAUAGGAGACGUCUACUGUUGUUGGGCAUCAUUCAGGUAUGUCUUUUAGAGGGUAUUGAGUAAAAAUUUCUGGAACUUUUUAAAACAAUCUUCCAUUAUGCAUCCUCACUGAAUAUUUUAGCAUGAGUCUGUCCAUAGCCAAUACUGGCAAUUGCCGUCUCAUUUAAACGAUUUUUGACGGGAUAUCAUGUUAUCUCUGACUAUAGAAAUUUUCCUUUUCUCAUAAAAGAGCAAUUAUAUUUAAUAUUCAUUUCAUAAUCACAACAGAACACAUCAAAACAUGCUUGAUAUUCACCUUUUAGAAUUUUGAAUAAUAAAAAAUAAAUAUUAAAAAAUAUCCUGUCCCGAUUCGGAAACAGGACGUUAUUUAACCUAUUCUUUCUCUCUAUAUAUCAUUGUAGGUAUUUCCGGUGUUGACUUGAAACGUUUUCAUUCACGAUGUUGCGGAUUCAUCAUUGCAUUUGCAUGGGGUAGUGCAUAUGUUGUGUGUGGCCUUCUAAACGAUAAAUCUAUGGAUUAAAGGAUGAACAGGUCGAUGCAGGAAUAUUCAUUCUAAUGAUAAGGAAAUACGAAAUGCAAGGACAAUCUCCAAGCAUGCAGUAUGCCUUAUACAAACAAUGAUGGAAUGUUUCAUUAUAUGGUGGCGCCCAGUUUUUAUUGGUGGAAGAGAGAACCCAGAUACAAUGUACCUGGGAAGAGACCAUCAACCUUCCGAAAGUAAACUGGGAAACUUUCUCACUUAACGGCAUGAGCGGGAUUGGAACCCUCGCCAACAGAGAAUCCUGAAGUGAUCUUGUACAUGUAAAUGCAUGCAGUGGUGGAUUCAGGAUUUGUUAAAGGGGGGAUAGGGCUCCAGGGUUUUGAGGCUUUUUAGAACUAGAUGAGCAGAAGAUGCAUUCCAUGACUGACUCCCCAUAUGAUAUGAAAGAGAGCCCAUGAGAAUGGAACCAACUUUCAGUGUUACAAAGGAUGAACACUCCUCCUGUCACAAGUCCAUCUUGAUUCAGUAAAGUGGUAGUCUAUUUAUCUAGGAAGCAACAAGACGGAUCUGGACAAUGACCAUAUUGACUCAAGUUUUGGUGUAAGAAGACCAUUUUGAUUAAACAUGUUAAAAUCACCACAGAAGUAAGAAGCUAGGAUACCAGUUUUAUAAACUAAAGAGUCGAAAGGCCCAGCUGGAGAGAAAUUCCUAUUUCUCGACCAAGGACAAAAAAAAAGAAAGAUUAAAAAGGUGCUGACUAAGGAGGCAACGUCUCCAGAAGUAACGGAUGAUGAGGAAGCCACCCAGAGGAAGGUCUUACCAUUUAUAUGGAAGUCAUCCCUGCUGCGUAAUGUUAAGUGCGACCUGGACAGAGAGUAUGCUGAAUCUUUGCAACUUCAAUCAAAGAGACAAAAAGCCAAGGCCAUUAGAAGUAGAACGGAAAUGACUAUGACCCCACCACCUAUGAGCAUUCAAGAGUGGGCCGUUUCCUCUACUUAUAAAUGAUGCUAUUACUGUUAAUAGUUACAGUAUAUUUAAUUUCCUCAUUUCUAGCUCACCUGAGCCAAAGGCUCAAGGUCACAAUUAAUACUUUUAUACCAUUAUAUCCAGUUUUUAUGAAAUUUUAAUAAUGCUGUUGAAGGAGAAUUGCAAUUUUUCGGAUGUUUAUAAUUGACACUGUUUAAGUAUGUCUAGCAUCUAGCAUCUUAAAAAGUGUGAUGACCUAUUUAUUUCAUUUGAUAAUUUAUUAAUUUUAACUUUAAUAAAUUGAAAUAAAUGCAUUUUUGAUACUUUUAUCAGAGAAUAUUGCAAGUAUGGAGUUGCCUUGAUAUAUUUAUACAGAUUUGUUCUGCUUUAGUACUAGUGUAUCAGUAUUAUUACAUCAAGUUCAUUUGUGUGAAUAUUAUAAUAUUUAAGAAUGAAUAAAACUGUCAAAUUGUG